AUGAGUCAACCGCCACAAGAAUCCAUCCAGGUGAUACGGGCGAAGAGGCGCGGCACGCUCUCAGCAGAGGUCCUGUGGGGACUGGAAGGAUCACAAAAGCAGCACACCGACCGAGGCAGGGAUGCAGACACUUGGAAGCAGCUGAACCGGAGGAUUUUUACCCAAAGAGCACUCGGCUCUGUCCCACGGGCUGCCUCGGUUACUGGCGAUCAGGGUGAGCGGGGUGGUCGCUGCCUGCAUCUGUGUGUGUGUCUCUCUCUCUCCUCAGCGCACAGGCGCUCUGCACUCCAGUCUGCUGACACUCCGGGAGGACAGUCCGCACUACACCUCCGUGUCAUUGGACUCUAUGUGGAUACAAAGCCCGGCCAACACAGAUCCAUGGGGAUAGUUUAGAGGGAACUGCUGACUACGACCUUUUGCAUGAAAUCAGGUAAGUGUCGGCUUAUUUGGAAAGGCACAUUUUUGGACAGCUAGUUCCCUAUUCUCCAACUUAAAACACCUCUUAUCCAAUACGUGACAUUCUUGCUCGCUGUCGGCUUCAAAUAUAGUGUCUUAUUUCUCGAAUUAGGCCUACAUCAAGCCAUAUAUUUACAAUUUAGCUUACACAUUCGUCUCAACAACCACAAUCAGGCCCUUUAACUGCCUAAUUCCUGCCGUCGUUCUAAAUUACUACAGUCCCUAAUGUUUUUACUCGUGCGCACUCAUAUGAGAACAGUGUAGGAUGAAAUCAUUUGUGUGUGGAGCUGAAUUAAUGAAGCCGUAAAAUGACUGGGUUGUUAAAUCCAGCAUAUGGCAGAAAGUCCCCAGAUGAGCAGGGGACAGCAGUAAGAGCGGGGAGACAAUUGGGCUCUUGUGUGUGCACGGUUUUAUGAUAAUGAAAGUGGACCCCGUUGGCCAGGCCCGUCCUGAAACACAAAGAUCAUUCUCAACAAGUCCCGUACUGUGGGCGCCCGCUUGGUGCUGAGGCAGCGAGUGUAUGUGACAGCACCAUUAUUCACCAAGAUGCCUAACUGCACUUGUAUUACACCGGAUGGAAGAACUAUCAUAACAAGCUGACCCCUACCCCGAAAAAUUAUAUAUAUAUUGUGCAAACGCAGUUUGUCUGGAAAUGUUUAUAAUUUACCCUAAAUGUAUGAAUCCGUCCACAUUUGCUCAACUGUAAGUUUCUAAACAAUAACACAACUGACACUCUUUGACUUUCCUCUCAAUUGUGCACGCACUGUUCAUAAACAGUACUCCUUACAGGAUUAUUCUCAUUUAGCUGUUGCUUCCAAAUAUAUUGGCUCUUGUAUUUCAGUUUUCACUUGCAGUUUCAUUUGUAUUUUGCAAUAAUCUGAGCAUAUUUUUUAGGCUCCUUAGUACAAUAGAAUCAAUUAAAAACAUCUGAGUGUGGACCUUCUCAUCGAUUUAGGAAAUCAUCAUCCUCGCUGCCUGGAGAUGCUCAUGAAUCUUGCAUGUGCACAUCCGGAGAGAAAUGGGGGCACAAUUAGAGGAUUGCACAUUACUUAGAGUAUAGAUGUUUGGCUCGGAUGCAGUGCGUUGUAUGGCGGUUCUACUGAAGGAGCAGAACAUGAUUUAGAUAUGUGUUCUCAAAGGACAAAGCCGAGAUCAAUAAGAAACUGAAUUUUCAUCUGUGUGUGGUGAACGGGGCAUCUGCUUGAGUGCAAACACUAUUUAUUUCUGGGAAGGGAGUAGGACAUACAAUUUGUCUGAUGUAAGAGGCACACGUAUCUUUUAGAAACACUCCAGGGGUCAAAGAGGCGGGCCAUCAUGUAUUGCUGAUUCUCUGUCCAGCUGCAAUUCCUUAAUGCACUCUGAGAGUCAGAGAUCUAAUAAGAAGUGGAAGAACAUCUUCAAUAAUGAAACCCCACCUGCAUCUCUGCUGCAGAGUGAGGGCUGGGGCUGAGAGGCCUCAUAAAUAACAGAAGCCAGACCUGACACGUGCUGCUCCAACGUCUGGGAACUGCCAAUAAUCCCUCUCAUCUACUAAGAUGCUGUUGUUGCAGAGAGAAGCAGGAGGGAGAAAAAAGGCACAAUGCUUAGUUUUGCUUUGCAGUCAUCAAGUAAAUGUAACUCAGCACAGCAGCUUUACUCUAAUAAAGAGUUCUGCAGAGCGAUACGAGGGGAUAUUCAAUGACUUUUUACUCAUAAGGAGAAUACAGGAAGAGCAUUCUUGUAUAAUUUAGUGAAAGCAGCGCAUGGGACAGCAAACAGCUUAAAUUGCAUGCAGAUUUCAAUAUUAUUCUAUUGAUUUUAUUUCACCACAGACUUAUUUUUGUCUUAUUUUUUCUGCUUUUCAGCAGUAAUUAAAUUGUAAUAACUUGCAGUGUUUGAAGCUUAGAAGUAUCAUCAUCUUCUUU
rnacentral:lncRNA from 1 species